rnacentral:snoRNA from 1 species
ACUGAUCAUGUCUCGUCGUUGGAAACGCCUCAUAGAAUAAAUAUGUUGUUUCCUUUAUUCACAGAACUGUGUGUUAGAUCUGUGGGAAGGAAUUACAAGACAGCU